CAUCCUCAUCCUCACCUGUGCGGAAAAGUUCAUCACCUGCUCCUGUGACUGCUACAUCAUCCUCAUCCUCACCUGUGAGGAAAAGUUCAUCACCUGCCCCUGUGACUGCUACAUCAUCCUCAUCCUCACCUGUGAGGCAGCGUUCAUCAAGAAAAAGACAGCAGGAGAGGUUUCAGUCAAGAUUGGUCAAACUACGGGAACAUCAUAACAAUUGCUCCAAGCGCUUCAAUAGAGCAGAAGUUGAAAAAACCAACAGAACAAAAAAGACUGCCAUACUUGAGGAUUGCGUUCUCUAGGUUUUCGUCGGUCGAGAGGGAGCUGCUGUUGUAGUGGAGUAUUGUUGUCAUUGCCCCCCCCCAAAACAAAAGAAAGGAAAACUGCUCUUGACUGAAUCACUUAUUAACUUAAAUAAGAAUCAUCUAUAUUUAAUGUAUAGAGUGAAGAUUAUUUUUACAUUAAUUACUUCAUAAAAAUAUCUGUAGUA
ensembl:lncRNA